rnacentral:lncRNA from 1 species
UGUGCGUUGAGAAAGAAGGACGUGAGCUCGUAAGGGAAGUACGGGAUGUGCUGAUAUUUAAAGGAGGUCUGAGAAGGGGUAAAAGUGGAAUUUUUACCGCGCCGGCGUUUUGAGUUUUUCGGGAGUAGUGGUUGUCGUGGGCGCCCGUUUCAAAAAGAUUGCAAUCAUCAGGUUGGAGACCGCGAAACGGAAGGAUAUUUUCAUUGCGUCUGUUUCGGAAGGGAAGUUGAAAAGAAUUUCGAAGUAAAGACUAUGUUUUACUCCGAAACU